AGUGAACGCUGGCGGCAGGCCUAACACAUGCAAGUCGAACGGCAGCACGGCAGUAGCAAUACUGUGGGUGGCGAGUGGCGGACGGGUGAGGAAUACAUCGGGAUCUACCCUGUUGUGGGGGAUAACGUAGGGAAACUUACGCUAAUACCGCAUAAGAACUGAGGUUGAAAGCGGCGGACCGCAAGGCGUCGCGCGAUUGGAUGAACCGAUGUCCGAUUAGCUAGUUGGCGGGGUAAAGGCCCACCAAGGCGACGAUCGGUAGCUGGUCUGAGAGGACGACCAGCCACACUGGAACUGAGACACGGUCCAGACUCCUACGGGAGGCAGCAGUGGGGAAUAUUGGACAAUGGGCGCAAGCCUGAUCCAGCCAUGCCGCGUGGGUGAAGAAGGCCUCGGGUU
rnacentral:rRNA from 1 species